GCACUUUUUCAACGUGCUUCCCAAACGAGAAGGCGACAACGCAUUUGUAUGUGAAUCCAUAUCAACUUUCGAUGCCAUUGACUGCGCCUACCAUGGUGACCACGGGUAACGGGGAAUCAGGGUUCGAUUCCAUACAGGGACCCUGACAAAUGGCUACCACAUGUAAGGAAGGCA